GCUCAGUUGUUAAGCGUCUGCCUUCAGCUCAGGUCAUGAUCCCAGGGUCCUGGGAUCAAGCCCCACAUCGGGCUCCCUGCUCAGCGGGAAGCCUGCUUCUCUCUCUCUCCCACUCCCCCUGCUUGUGUUUCCUCUCUCGCUGUGUCUCUCUCUGUCAAAUAAAUAAAUAAAAUCUUAAAAAAAAAAAAAAAGAAUUGCUCAAAUGUAUGGUACUACUAAGAGCACUUAUCUGCUGUCAUGCCUAUGCCAGAGUGCCUUGUGGAGAUGAAGAGGCCUGAGAACUAAAGGAAAAGUUGGAAGCAGGAGGUACAGAUCUGAGAUUCAACAAUCUUGCACAAUUCAACCAGGAAAUUAAAGAAGAAUUAAAAAAAAUUCAUGGAAACCAAUGAAAAUGAAAACACAACUAUUCAAAAUCUUUGGGAUGCAGCAAAGGCAGUCCUAAGAGGAAAGUAUAUAGCAAUACAAGCCUUUCUCAAGAAACAAGAAAGGUCUCAAGUACACAACCUAACCCUACACCUAAAGGAGCUGGAGAAAGAACAGCAAAUAAAGCCUAAACCCAGCAGGAGAAGAGAAAUAAUAAAGAUCGAGCAGAAAUCAAUGAAAUAGAAACUAAAAGAACAGUAGAACAGAUCAACGAAACUAGGAGCUGGUUCUUUGAAAGAAUUAACAAGAUUGAUAAACUCCUGGCCAGACUUAUCAAAAAGAAAAGAGAAAUGACCCAAAUCAACAAAAUCAUGAAAGAAAGAGGAGAGAUCAUAACCAACACCAAAGACAUACAAACAAUUAUAAGAACAUACUAUGAGCAACUCUAUGCCAGCAAAUUAGAUAACCUGGAAGAAAUGGAUGCAUUCCUAGAGAUCUAUCAACUACCAAAACUGAACCAGGAAGAAAUAGAAAACCUGAACAGACCUAUAACCACUAAGGAAAUUGAAGCAGUCAUCAAAAAUCUCCCAAAAAACAAAAGCCCAGGGCCAGAUGGCUUCCCAGGGGAAUUCUACCAAACAUUUCAAGAAGAAUUAAUACCUAUUCUUCUGAAACUGUUCCAAAAAAUAGAAAUGGAAGGAAAACUUCCAAACUCAUUUUAUGAGGCCAGCAUUACCUUGAUCCCAAAACCACCCAAAACACAGUCUUAUCAUUGUGUGUUUAACAGCACUUCCAGAGUAAUUUAACAUGCCAAAAACAAGCUUAAUUAGAAAAAACAAAACAAAACAAAAAACCUUUAUUUACAAUUCAAAUCUGCAGAAGUUUCUUAAAUCCCUCAGAAAAUUUUAAAGCUUAUGCCUAAAAAGGAUUGUAGAUCAUUAUCAGAUUAGCAUUUACAUUUAGCCAAGGUGGCAAUAAGGGAUUCUACAGGAAGUUAUAUAGUUGUUAGUAAAACUUAGCUCCUUUAAUAUUGAGAAGCUCUAACUUACUUAAGGAAUCAAAGACCUGAUAAACACAAAACAUAAAAGUUUUGGUUUUCUGGACAGACAAAAGAGAAAAAAAAAAAAACAUUGUUUAUAUUUUCUUAUCAAGAGCAGAUAAAAAAUCCAAAAAAAACUUUUGUCUUUUUAACAGAGGGAAAAGCAGAAUUUCAAUCACAUAUGGUGUACUUUUAAAAAUCCAUUCAUUUCAACCUUAUAAUGAAGGAUAGUUGGAAGAAAGAUAGGCAGGGACAAGCCCCACCCCUGACCCCCACCCUAAGAGGAAAGCACCCUUAAAAGGAUUUUACAUCACCCUGGAAGGAGCCCUCUACCCUUUCCCAUGAACAACUACCUGAUAGGUAGAUGAGUGUGUGGACAAAAACGUGAUUGGGUGACAGUCACAUGGUGGAUUAAUCAGAUUAAAACAGCCCACCAACAUUCUCAUAAAAACCACUAGACUUAGAAACUCCUGUGACAACCCUCUUGGUCCCCUCCCUCUUUAGGAGCUUUGUAUUAUCACUCAAUAAACUUUGCUUUGCUGUCUACCACUCUUCAGGUGGUCUACCUCUUCAUUCUUCAAAGUGGCUUGACCAAGAACCACGGACACUAAAGGAAAAGAAAUCCUGAAACACUUAGUCCUGACCACGUAUAAAAUUCCUUUCCAAAGAUUUCCCUUCACAAACCUUCUACAACUUUUUCAUUCAGAUUUUUUUGUAAGCCCUUUCUCUCUAAAUAACAGGUCUCAUUUUUUAGUACAAAAUUACUUUCUUUUACCUCAACAAUAUGUAUUCCCAUUCCUUUUAUCUUUCUCAUAUAUUACCUACCUUUCUACAUACAGAACUGUUUCCCUUACCAUUUCCAGCAGUCUCAAUUACAUUUAUCAGAAUUUUUACUUUAGAAACCUUAAUAUCCAAUGAAAAUUAAGUAGUGAUGAACUGUGAACUGCCUGUUAACAAUAGAAUUCUUUAGAUGAUGAAAUUUAUAAAAACAUCUCCUAAUUUUUAAAAACAUAUAUGUUUUCCAUAGCACAAUCUUUUUUUAAAGAUUUUAUUUAUUUGAGAGACAGAGUAUUAGCAGGGGGAGGGGCAGAAGGAAAGGGAUAAGCAGACUCCCCACUGAGCAGGGAGCUGGACAUGGGACUCGAUCCCAGGACCCCGAGAUCACCACCUGAGCUGAAGUCAGACGAUUAACCGACUGAGCCAACCAGGUGCCCCUCCAUAGUACAUUUUUUUAAAUAAAGUAUAAAGCAUGUUUACUAACAUACCCAAGUACCCCAGUUUCUCUGCAAUAAAGAAGCCAAAAGCACAAACCUACAUCCAAUAAUCAAUGCUUUAUAAUUUUAUCUUACUUGGAAAAGACAUAGAUGUCCCAUGAAUUCAAUCCAAUUUAUCAUCUAAGCAAAACUUUACAGUUGUAGGUUACCAAAUAUUUUGAAAGCUAUACACCUUUUCAGUUAUUCAACUGACUUGUUUUUUUAACAAUUACCCAUGAAAACUUUGAGACAGACAAAAUUAACCAUCAUUUCAUCAUCUUUUUGCUGACAAAUUGCAACAGAGAUAACCUUCAGCAAUCCUUGGUAAAAUAAAAGUUUUAUAUUUAAUCCUAAUAACUCUGAAUACAUGUCUAUCUUAAUUAACAAACUUAAGUUAGUUUAAAUACCAAAUAUGUUGCACCGGGGUCCACUUAAAAUUCAAUCCAUUUGUUCCCCACUGUCAUUUUUUUUUUCUUUUACCUGGGGCUCCAGUGGGGAAUUAAGUGGAUGGUUUAAGUCCAGGAAAAAAAAAAAAAAAGUUUUGUUUUGUUUUGUUUUCUUUUGUCUGUCCAGAAAACCAAAACUUUGCUCCUUGAUAACAAGGGUAGGAGGAGCAGGAGCCAAUGGUAACUGAGGCAGGGAGGAUGGGAUAAGUAGCAAGUUAUGCAAGCCUCAUUCAUGGUGGUGUAGGAACAGGAGGAAGGGGAGGAGGAGGAUGAAGAUUUGAGGUGCCACCAGUAAAGUUGGAGGUGGGACAAAAACCUGAAGGGCAGAGAAAGUGGACUCCUAGUCCUAAAGCUGAUCAGCUUAGACAGAUGAGCAGACAAGUUUUCUUUCCACCAACAUGAAGUGAUAUAGGCAGUUCAUGUUGGGCCAGAGAAGGCAGGGAACUUCCCCCAAACAGAAGGAAUUUUGGCAGCUGCUUGGGAAUAUUCCAUAAAGUCUCUGUCCCAAGGUAGACUAUCAGACAAUUGGCUCCAAUUAUCAUAACCAUUAACCCAGGAAAUGAAUGAGAAAGAAGCCUCCACAUACAAUAAGAGUCAGGCAACAUUCAUCUAGUCUUCUCAAGAUAUAUUUCAGAUAUAACACACAAAAAAAGAAGCAAACAAAGAUGAGACAAGUCAUAGAAAAAAAAAAAAAAAAGCAUGUACAGGAUCUUGGCAGAAAGAGUGAAGUUGAAGUUUAGUAAACUUGAAGUUUACAGAUCUGUUAAUGGGCCAUUUUACCAAGUCUCCUAAGCAGUACUGAGGGUAUGCACUAUUGCAGAAGAAAAGGAAUUUUUAAUUUUUUUUCUUUAUAUACUUCAGUCCAAACUGGUCCAGGGGAUUAAAAGUCAUCUCAAGGGAGAGUCCUUGGGGACUUAAGAAACCUGGAAGGUCCAUUACCCAAAUCCCCUCCCCCCAGCUCCUGGGUGGCAAGAUAAUGCCAAGGGUUCGUAGUAUUCAAAGAAACGUGUCCCCCCAAAAGUCGUUUUGAACACUGACUUGUUUACUGAAGGGAUGUUGAUGUCCCUUCACUUCCCCAUUGCAUUCUAGACUACAAGUGGGUGCCAGUGAAUGGACCAAAAGAGCCUGCUCAGAACCUGCCAUUUUUAACCCAUGGAGAUGCUAAGAAUUUGCAGGGAAAAAUAUUUAGUGUUGCAAUUUAAGUAGUCAGGAGGGAACAUUGAUGAAGAAUAGUAAAGAUAGAAAUCCAUCAUGGUAUAAAGGACAUUCCAACACAUGUCCUUUCCAACACACUUCCCUAGGAAACGGUCCCUGGUUGGGUUUUAAUUCAAUCAGGUACUGGUUUUGGCUGGCUCCCAGUGGAAUUCUGGCCAGAAGUGGCUAGACCAGAGAUGUGGAGGGGAUCAUAUUAGACCAAUAAGGAAACCUUACACAGGAGUCUUAAGAUUGGCAACUGUCCUAGUGAUUUAGGUGACUGUUCUGUGUCCAAGAAAGACAACUUUCUAUAAGAAUAGGAAUAAAGUGGGAUGCCUGGGUGGCUCAGUCAGUUAAGUGUCUACCUUCAGCUCAGGUCAUGAUCCCAGGGUCCUGGGAUCGAGUCCCACAUCGAGCUCCUUGCUCGGCAGGGAGUCUGCUUCUCCCUCUGCCUGCUGCUCCCCCUGCUUGUGCUUGCACUCUCUCUGACAAAUAAAUAAAUAAAAUCUUUUUUAAAAAAGGAAUAAAGUGAGGGCAUGAAGGUUCUGAGUCUAUUACCAUUCCAGCCAGGGUACUAGCUUCCAGUCAAAAGGCAGCUUUUAUUCCUCCCCAUAGAGUAGCCAUAAGUAGAGGUUUGCAGCUGAGCAAUCAACAUGAAAGUCUUCCAAUAAGACCGUACUUCCUGAGAAGUCUUUGAAGUGAAAGUAAAAGGAAAAAAGGUACUCUCACCAAGUUUGUAUUGAGGGCCCAGGUCCUGAUGAGAAGAAGGGCUCCAUGUUGGGCACCAGAAAUAUGCGGGGCUGCUGAGCGAACUGUCAAGAAAAAAAUCUUGAGAAGUUUUCGGUGCAAAAAGUUGUUUUUAUUAUAGCACUGGGACAGGACCAGUGGGCAGACAGAGCUGCACUGUGGUUGUGAGGAGUGAUUGAUUAUAUACUUUUAAGGUGGGGGUAGAGAUAAUGGAAGUCUCUAAAGGGAUUUCUGCAUAUUAAAGAAGACUUACUGGAUCCAGGAGGUCUGGCUAUUAUCAAGCUAAGAUUGCUUUGAUAGCAAAGCACUGUAGCAAAGCACUAACAUUAAUGCAGUUGUGAAUUCCUUGAGGAAUGUCACACCCUGCCUGUCUCAGGUAUAUAUCAAUGGGCUGCAAGUUGUAAGAAAAUUUAAUUUUCCCUACAUUUCUCUUGCAUUUGGAAUAAGCAGAGGCUGGCUUUAUGGCUCUAUCAAAACUGAAGACCUAGAGGCUGUAGCAUUUUCUAUUUUCUCCUUUUGCCUUCAGUAAUAACUUCUUUUAACCUUCAGUGUCACUAGAUAUUGCAGAACUUCUGAUUCAUAUUAAUUACUUGAAUUGGUGAAGACAAUUUGUAACUAACUACUCAUUAAGUAUUCCAGAAAAUGGCUAUAAGGCAUUUAGUUAUUUUUAUCUCAUUGCAUAUGUGAGCACAUUUUAUCCAUUCCCAACCCCCAGGAUUGUGAGCUCCUGUAAGAGAGUAACAAUGUCUUUUGUAUUUUUCUGUUUUUACUCACUGACAUACCUUAGAUGCUUCUUAAUAAUAUUUACUGAAGAUAUGUUUAAUUCAUUUAUUUAUUAUCAAUAUUAUUUUGAUUUUGUGUGUCUGCUAGAGAAAAAUUACUGGUAAAUUUGAAGCAGGAGAGCUAGGUUCUUGUCUCAUGGAGUCGAAGAUUGAAUCUUGAGGACAAUGGAGAGUGAGUAAAGCAAUAAAAGUUUAUUAAGUGAAGAUACAGAAAAAGCUCUCAAGAGUGAGAGUGAUCCUGACAGGGUUGCCAAAAAGGGCCUUUAGGUUUUAUCUUUUAUAGAAAGCUAACCAGGGAACUUAAAUCCUUUUAACAUCUCUAUUGAUAACACCUUAAAUGGCUUACUUCCUUUUUAGGGUGUGGUUAUUCUUUGUUGGUCACAGGUGAUUAUCAUAAAGACACCCACCCCACACACCUAGGGCAGGGUGGUCUGAUUUGUCACCUUAUCUCUGGUUUUCCCAUACCUCCACAUUUUUGGGAUUUCUGUGAGCCUAAUCACAUAGCCCCCUACCUAUCUCUCCCUACCUAGCCCUUACUCAAAUUGUUUUGGGGACUGGUAAAAGUAGUAUUUGACAGAUUUGUUACAAGUCUAGUAGCCCAAAUUUACAGUAUUAGUACAUAAAAAAUCUGUCUACAGAGAUACAACCUCUUUUUAAUUAUUAGAACUUGCUAAUACUUCAACACUUUAUAUUGUAAUGGUGAAAGUGAAUAAAUGAACUAAAUUAAUAGUCUAAUAAAUGGUGUAUAAAGAAAGUUAUUUCACUUUCUUUAAAAUCAUUUUUGGGCCACCUGGGUGAGUUAAGAGUCUGACGCUUGGUUUCAGCUCAGGUAGUGAUGAUGAAGGAUAGUUGCAAGAAAGGCAGACUGGGACAGGGUGCCCUCCCCCCAUGCUUUAAGAGGAAACCACCCUUAAAAAGAUUUGACAAGGAGCUCUCCACCCUUUCCCAUGUGACAAAUAGAUGACAAAAACCUGAUUGGAUUAGAGGCACAGGGAGGGUUAAUCAGAUUAAAAACAGCACACCAACAAGCCCAUAAAAACCCCUAGACUUAGAAAUUCUGCUGUCAAUCCUCUCAGGUCCCCUCAUUCUGUGGGAGCUUUGUGCUAUCACUCAAUAAACUUUGCUUUCCUGCCACCACUCUGUCUGGUCUACCUCUUCAUUUUUCGAAGUGGCAUGACCAAGAACUGCAGAAACUGAAGGAAAAAAAAAAUCCUGCAACAGUGAUCUCAGGGUCAUGAUAUUGAGCCCGGUGUCAGUAUCCACACUCAGCACAGAGUUAGCUUGGGAUUCUCUCUCCUUCUCCUUCUACCCCUCACACUUGUGCGCGCUCUCUCUCUCUCAUUCUCUCUAAAAUAAGUAAAUUAAAUUAAAUUAAAAUAAAAUCAUUUUUAUUUUUAUAGUCUUUUAUUUAAAAAAAAAUCUAUUGUUAAGCUGUACUUUAAAAAAAAAAAAUAGCAUUUUUUUACAUUUCUUUUAGGUCUGCCAAAAUAAAACUUUGGAACUGCACAGUGAAGAGAAAGGAUUAAAAAAAGGAAAAAAAAAAAAGAGCAACCAAAAGUCAAGGUCUCAUGAAUAAAAAUACCA